UUAUCACCGGAGAUGACAGCUCCAUGUGUGUUAUUGUCCCCGAAGACCUUCCAGUGGGACAAGAUGUGGAGGUGAAAGACAGUGAUAUUAAUGAUCCUGACCCUGGAAAAUUAGAAGUAGAAAGUUCAGCAAGAACACAGGGGAGCAUUAGCAGUCAUAAAUGAAGAGCACAGGAGCUGCUGGAUGUGGCCAGUGACAGGAAAAGGACAUCUUUUAAGACUACAUUCGUGACAGCACAGGAAGAAUAGAGGUGACAUUGAGAGAUCCUGAAAUUAAAAUGAAUUAGGAAGAUAGAAAGCAGAUGGGAUUAAAUUGACAAAAACUGAAAAAAACCACAGCCCAACAUGUGCACAGAAGAAAGAACCCACUAGGAAGACAAGAGCAGUUGCAGAGAAACUCCAAGCUGAGUAUUAACAAUUACAGAGAGCAGAAGGAGGCCCUCUGGCAAUGAUCAGGGUAAUUAAAGAGCCGCCUGCAGAACGCGGGGCUCCGCUGCCAGUGACUCCCUCCUCGGCUGAAGAGGAAACCCACGCUGUCCUCCUAUGUGGUAUUAACUCAUCCAGUUCUUCAUCCUUAGGCAUAAAUGGACAUGCUUAAGGGAGGAAACCAUUAAAUUAAAAAGGAAGUAAGAGAAAGAGGCAGAACAUCGACCCUAGAGAAAACAGAAAAUCCACAAUAGAGAAAUGAACUGCCAAGCUUUCUAUUUAAUAUCUUCCAGGGGAUUCAAGAUGACGUUGCCCCCUAAAACAAGAAGAGGCUUCUAUGGAAAAGAAACAGAGGACAAGCCACAGUUCUUAGUAUUAUGGAAUUACAAACAUAGAGUACUUACUGGAAGGAAUGAAUAGAAGAACAGGCACAAUAAAGGACGAAUUAGCGAUCUAAAACAGAGGUCAGAACAUGUUUUUUUCUGUGAAAAGCCAGAUUUUAAAUAUUUUUGGUUUUCCAGGUUACGUUGUCGCUGUCACAGCUCCUCAAUCUGCCAGGGUGGUAGGCAAGUAGUCACUGACAAAUACAAACAAGAAAGAGUUGAUUUACCGAAUAAUAUACAGACAAGAAAGGGUUUAUUUACAAAAUUCACGUUUAUUUACAAAACUAGGUGGUGGACUGGAUUCGGCCCACGGCCUGUAGUUUAGUGACUUGUGUGACCUAAAAGAUGAAGUUAAGGAAAUAUUCCAAAACAUGGAGAAAAAGAUAAAAAGACGGGAAAGAGUUAAACAGGAAAACUUGUUUCAAGAGUUCCAACACAUCUACCACGGUUUCAGAAACAGAAAAAAAUUAAGUGGAGAAAAUUAUACAGAAAAAUAAAAAUGUAUCAUAGCUGAAGAGAAACAUAGAUUUUCUUUUUUUUUUUUUUACAUAAACAGAGCCACCCAAGUGUAUUGUAA